UUACGCUGUUAUCCCUAAGGUUAUUUAUUUUAAAAUUCCAAAAUUUAGGUUUAUAGAUACAUUAAUUAAUGUUUGUUUAUUUAAAAGUUUUUUUAAUUUUAAAAUUACCCCAAUUAAAUAUAUAAAUUAAUUUAUUAUUUUAUUAAAUUAAAUAUUAAUUAAUUUAUAUAUUAAAUUCUAAAGGGUCUUCUCGUCUUUUAAUUAAAUUUAAGAAUUUUAACUUAAAAUUUAAUUUUAAUUUUUAAUUUUAUUUAUAUAGUUUAUGUUUCAUUAAAUCUUUCAUACUAGAUUUCAAUUAUAAAACUAAUUAUUAUGCUACCUUUGUACAGUUAUUUAUACUGCAGCCUUUUAAAAUUAUCAAUGGGCAGAUUUGACUUAAUAUUAUUUUCAAUAAGACAUGUUUUUGUUAAACAGGCG
rnacentral:rRNA from 1 species